CCCAGGUCAGGCGGGAUNCCCGCU
rnacentral:rRNA from 1 species